rnacentral:rRNA from 1 species
CCUACGGGAGGCAGCAGUGAGGAAUAUUGGUCAAUGGACGAGAGUCUGAACCAGCCAAGUAGCGUGAAGGAUGACUGCCCUAUGGGUUGUAAACUUCUUUUAUAUGGGAAUAAAAUGUUCCACGUGUGGGAUUUUGUAUGUACCAUAUGAAUAAGGAUCGGCUAACUCCGUGCCAGCAGCCGCGGUAAUACGGAGGAUCCGAGCGUUAUCCGGAUUUAUUGGGUUUAAAGGGAGCGUAGGUGGAUUGUUAAGUCAGUUGUGAAAGUUUGCGGCUCAACCGUAAAAUUGCAGUUGAUACUGGCAGUCUAGAGUACAGUAGAGGUGGGCGGAAUUCGUGGUGUAGCGGUGAAAUGCUUAGAUAUCACGAAGAACUCCGAUUGCGAAGGCAGCCUACUAAACUGCCACUGACGUUGAUGCUCGAAAGUGUGGGUAUCAAACAGGAUUAGAUACCCGGGUAGUC